GCCACUACUACGACAAAGCUCCAAACCUGAAACAAAGAAAUUUCAGUCUGGCAAAAUUGUGCCCUGUGAUCAUGACCUCUCCAACAAGAAGGGGGAGAAUCACCAAGCAAAAAUAUCUCCAUUUUCACCUCAGGGGAUGGUCAAAAAGAGAUCAGCUUUUGAAGAUCUUACCAAUGCUUCUCAAAGUCAACCUGCACAGUCCAAGAAGGAAGCCAAUAAGGAGAUUGUAAAAGAUGUUUUCAAGAAUAUAAGCAAGAAUAGGUGUGUUUACGGAUCUGCUAAACACAAGGAGAUG